rnacentral:rRNA from 1 species
AGCGAACGCUGGCGGCAGGCCUAACACAUGCAAGUCGAACGAACUCUUCGGAGUUAGUGGCGGACGGGUGAGUAACACGUGGGAACGUGCCUUUAGGUUCGGAAUAACUCAGGGAAACUUGUGCUAAUACCGAAUGUGCCCUUCGGGGGAAAGAUUUAUCGCCUUUAGAGCGGCCCGCGUCUGAUUAGCUAGUUGGUGAGGUAAAGGCUCACCAAGGCGACGAUCAGUAGCUGGUCUGAGAGGAUGAUCAGCCACAUUGGGACUGAGACACGGCCCAAACUCCUACGGGAGGCAGCAGUGGGGAAUCUUGCGCAAUGGGCGAAAGCCUGACGCAGCCAUGCCGCGUGAAUGAUGAAGGUCUUAGGAUUGUAAAUUUCUUUCACCGGGGACGAUAAUGACGGUACCCGGAGAAGAAGCCCCGGCUAACUUCGUG